rfam:Exidia glandulosa HHB12029 unplaced genomic scaffold EXIGLscaffold_518, whole genome shotgun sequence.
GGCUGUAUAGUGUAGUGGUUAUCACAGUGGAUUCUGAUGCUUAAGCAUCUUCCAUUAACCCCUGUUCGAAUCAGGGUACGGUCA